GACGAACGCUGGCGGCGUGCUUAACACAUGCAAGUCGAACGAUGAAGAAGAGACACGCGAACUUCGGUUCAAAUUUCACUUCGGAUUAGUGGCAGACGGGUGAGUAACGCGUGAGCAACCUACCUCUUACAAAGGGAUAGCCUCGGGAAACCGUGAUUAAUACCAUAUGACACAUUCAUAAGGCAUCUUAAGAAUGUUAAAGCUACGGCGGUAAGAGAUGGGCUCGCGUCCCAUUAGCUAGUUGGUGAGGUAACGGCCCACCAAGGCGACGAUGGGUAACCGGCCUGAGAGGGUGAACGGUCACAUUGGAACUGAGACACGGUCCAAACUCCUACGGGAGGCAGCAGUGGGGAAUAUUGCACAAUGGAGGGAACUCUGAUGCAGCGACGCCGCGUGAGCGAUGAAGGAAUUCGUUUCGUAAAGCUCUGUUCUAUGGGAAGAAAAGGACUGUACCAUAGGAGAAAGCCCCGGCUAAAUACGUG
rnacentral:rRNA from 1 species